CCUUGUACACACCGCCCGUCACACCAUGGGAGUGGGUUGCUCCAGAAGGCGUUAGUCUAACCGCAAGGGGGACGACACCCACGGAGUGGUCCAUGACUGGGGUG
rnacentral:rRNA from 1 species